AGAGUUUGAUCAUGGCUCAGAUUGAACGCUGGCGGCAGGCUUAACACAUGCAAGUCGAGCGGGGAAGGGUAGCUUGCUACCUGACCUAGCGGCGGACGGGUGAGUAAUGCUUAGGAAUCUGCCUAUUAGUGGGGGACAACAUUCCGAAAGGAAUGCUAAUACCGCAUACGCCCUACGGGGGAAAGCAGGGGAUCUUCGGACCUUGCGCUAAUAGAUGAGCCUAAGUCAGAUUAGCUAGUUGGUGGGGUAAAGGCCUACCAAGGCGACGAUCUGUAGCGGGUCUGAGAGGAUGAUCCGCCACACUGGGACUGAGACACGGCCCAGACUCCUACGGGAGGCAGCAGUGGGGAAUAUUGGACAAUGGGCGAAAGCCUGAUCCAGCCAUGCCGCGUGUGUGAAGAAGGCCUUUUGGUUGUAAAGCACUUUAAGCGAGGAGGAGGCUACUUAGAUUAAUACUCUAGGAUAGUGGACGUUACUCGCAGAAUAAGCACCGGCUAACUCUGUGCCAGCAGCCGCGGUAAUACAGAGGGUGCGAGCGUUAAUCGGAUUUACUGGGCGUAAAGCGUGCGUAGGCGGCUUCUUAAGUCGGAUGUGAAAUCCCUGAGCUUAACUUAGGAAUUGCAUUCGAUACUGGGAAGCUAGAGUAUGGGAGAGGAUGGUAGAAUUCCAGGUGUAGCGGUGAAAUGCGUAGAGAUCUGGAGGAAUACCGAUGGCGAAGGCAGCCAUCUGGCCUAAUACUGACGCUGAGGUACGAAAGCAUGGGGAGCAAACAGGAUUAGAUACCCUGGUAGUCCAUGCCGUAAACGAUGUCUACUAGCCGUUGGGGCCUUUGAGGCUUUAGUGGCGCAGCUAACGCGAUAAGUAGACCGCCUGGGGAGUACGGUCGCAAGACUAAAACUCAAAUGAAUUGACGGGGGCCCGCACAAGCGGUGGAGCAUGUGGUUUAA
rnacentral:rRNA from 1 species